rnacentral:rRNA from 1 species
GAUCCUGGCUCAGGACGAACGCUGGCGGCGCGCCUAACACAUGCAAGUCGAACGGAAUCAAGAGGAGCUUGCUUUUCUUGAUUUAGUGGCGAACGGGUGAGUAACGCGUGAGUAACCUGCCCUGGAGUGGGGGACAACAGUUGGAAACGACUGCUAAUACCGCAUAAGCCCACGGUACCGCAUGGCACUGAGGGAAAAGGAUUUAUUCGCUUCAGGAUGGACUCGCGUCCAAUUAGCUAGUUGGUG